GUGGGGAAUCUUCCGCAAUGGACGAAAGUCUGACGGAGCGACGCCGCGUGAGUGAAGAAGGCCUUCGGGUCGUAAAGCUCUGUCAUCAGGGACGAACGGCCGGUGGAGUGGAAAGCCACCGGAUUGACGGUACCUGAGAAGGAAGCCACGGCUAACUACGUGCCAGCAGCCGCGGUAAUACGUAGGUGGCAAGCGUUGUCCGGAAUUAUUGGGCGUAAAGCGCGCGCAGGUGGGAUCUUAAGUCCAUUUUUAAAGUUCGGAGCUCAACUCCGUGAUGGGAUGGAAACUGGGAUUCUUGAGUACCGGAGAGGAAAGCGGAAUUCCCCGUGUAGCGGUGAAAUGCGUAGAUAUGGGGAGGAACACCAGUGGCGAAGGCGGCUUUCUGGACGGUGUCUGACACUGAGGCGCGAAAGCCAGGGGAGCGAACGGGAUUAGAUACCUUGGUAGUCC
rnacentral:rRNA from 1 species